GAUGAACGCUGGCGGCGUGCCUAAUACAUGCAAGUCGAGCGAACGGACGAGAAGCUUGCUUCUCUGAUGUUAGCGGCGGACGGGUGAGUAACACGUGGAUAACCUACCUAUAAGACUGGGAUAACUUCGGGAAACCGGAGCUAAUACCGGAUAAUAUUUUGAACCGCAUGGUUCAAAAGUGAAAGACGGUCUUGCUGUCACUUAUAGAUGGAUCCGCGCUGCAUUAGCUAGUUGGUAAGGUAACGGCUUACCAAGGCAACGAUGCAUAGCCGACCUGAGAGGGUGAUCGGCCACACUGGAACUGAGACACGGUCCAGACUCCUACGGGAGGCAGCAGUAGGGAAUCUUCCGCAAUGGGCGAAAGCCUGACGGAGCAACGCCGCGUGAGUGAUGAAGGUCUUCGGAUCGUAAAACUCUGUUAUUAGGGAAGAACAUAUGUGUAAGUAACUGUGCACAUCUUGACGGUACCUAAUCAGAAAGCCACGACUAACUACGUGCCAGCAGCCGCGGUAAUACGUAGGUGGCAAGCGUUAUCCGGAAUUAUUGGGCGUAAAGCGCGCGUAGGCGGUUUUUUAAGUCUGAUGUGAAAGCCCCCGGCUCAACCGUGGAGGGUCAUUGGAAACUGGAAAACUUGAGUGCAGAAGAGGAAAGUGGAAUUCCAUGUGUAGCGGUGAAAUGCGCAGAGAUAUGGAGGAACACCAGUGGCGAAGGCGACUUUCUGGUCUGUAACUGACGCUGAUGUGCGAAAGCGUGGGGAUCAAACAGG
rnacentral:rRNA from 1 species